rnacentral:rRNA from 1 species
CGGGCGGUUCGCCGCCCGUGACGUCGCGAGAAGUCCACUGAACCUUAUCAUUUAGAGGAAGGAGAAGUCGUAACAAGGUUUCCGUAGGUGAACCUGCGGAAGGAUCAUUG